GGUUCAAUGGUCUAAUGGUUAUGAUUUCUGUCUCACAUUGUAAUGUACACAGAAGGUUCCCAGUUCGAUCCUGGGUUGAACCA
rnacentral:tRNA from 1 species